GACGAACGCUGGCGGCGUGCUUAACACAUGCAAGUCGAACGGAAAGGCCCUGCUUUUGUGGGGUGCUCGAGUGGCGAACGGGUGAGUAACACGUGAGUAACCUGCCCUUGACUUUGGGAUAACUUCAGGAAACUGGGGCUAAUACCGGAUAGGAGCUCCUGCUGCAUGGUGGGGGUUGGAACGUUUCGGCGGUUGGGGAUGGACUCGCGGCUUAUCAGCUUGUUGGUGGGGUAGUGGCUUACCAAGGCUUUGACGGGUAGCCGGCCUGAGAGGGUGACCGGCCACAUUGGGACUGAGAUACGGACCAGACUCCUACGGGAGGCAGCAGUGGGGAAUAUUGCACAAUGGGCGGAAGCCUGAUGCAGCAACGCCGCGUGCGGGAUGACGGCCUUCGGGUUGUAAACCGCUUUCGCCUGUGACGAAGCGUGAGUGACGGUAAUGGGUAAAGAAGCACCGGCUAACUACGUG
rnacentral:rRNA from 1 species